UACGGGGGGGGCAAGCGUUAUUCGGAAUUAUUGGGCGUAAAGGGCGCGUAGGCGGCUUUUCAAGUGACGGGUGAAAUCCCUCGGCUUAACCGAGGAACUGCCUGUCAGACUGGAAGGCUUGAGACCGGGAGAGGUGAGUGGAAUUCCCGGUGUAGCGGUGAAAUGCGCAGAUAUGCGGAGGAACACCGAUGGCGAAGGCAAUCCCCCGGCGGUCUGUACUGACGCUCAUGCACGAAAGCGUGGGGAGCAAACAGG
rnacentral:rRNA from 1 species